rnacentral:siRNA from 1 species
UGGGACCCACGGCGAAUGGUUCAU